GCCGCCCGCCCCCGCCCCGGGAGAGGGCUCCGGGGCGGCCCCCAACACCCCCCCCGCGUACGGCAGCGGGCUGCUUGCCUGAGCAAGUCUGCUCGGGCAGCGGGGGGAACCACAAAAAACCCCAGACACCCCCCCGCCGCUGCCCGGUUUCAGGCACCGAUACCGAGCUCGAGGGAUAAAGACCGAUUUUCUAACGGGGAAAAAGGUUUUGCCGAGCCUCCGUGGUCCAGUUAGUGCCUGAAUGAAGGACGCGUUAGCGACCGACGUGUGCAAGCCGCCAGGAAGGAAAACGCGUCAAUUUAUCACUCAGUGACGCCCUUCGACCCUUUCUUUUCAGGCAGAGUGUUGCAUUUCAGACCAACGGGGAAGCAAAAUUUAAGACGCUCCUGGCAACGCCAUCCAUUCCUGCACGAAGGGAUGACAGCCCUGUCCCCAGCACACCAUCCGUCUCCUCCCAACAGACACAAGAAAUUCAGAUCAGGAGUGUUGAUGAACAAGGUAACGGUAUUGACUGCAGCUUCAAUUUCUGUAGCAUCUGGGCACUACAGGCUGAAGCCGCCUGACAUCUACUGGAAAUGAGAGCCCACUGGAUGUAACAGGGGGACCUUUUAUAUUCUGGGGCAGGCUGGGACUCUCUCACAGAUUGGAGAGCAGUUGCCAUAUCAUGCUUAGGAGAAGUUAGAUGGAGAAUACAGAAUGAAGCAGUGGAUCUGUCUCCAGGAUUAAAAGAACCAGAUGGGAAAGGUCUGGGAAGUCUAUGGAUGGGACCUGGUGUAUGCAUUGGGCAACUGCCAGGUUUGCCCUGGACUGACUGCUAGCCAGAAAAGCAGAUUCCCACCUUUACCUCAUUUUCUUCACCUGAACCAGCAAUGAUGGGAUGGAGUACGUGUAUUGUGUGGAGCUGGAACAGGCUCAUCCCUCCCAGGAUGGGUUCUCGCACAGAGGACAAUGUUAUCUGCAUCUCCCAUGGUGGUAUGUUAGGCUGUGUGUGUCCUUAUAUCAGGAAUGCUUUUAAUAAACAAUAUAAUAUUUGAAAUUGUA